rnacentral:rRNA from 1 species
GGACUACCGGGGUAUCUAAUCCCUUUUGCUCCCCACGCUUUCGUGCCUCAGCGUCAGAACUCUUCCAGUAAGCUGCCUUCGCCUUCGGUGUUCCUCCAAAUAUCUACGCAUUUCACUGCUACACUUGGAAUUCCGCUUACCUCGCCGAGUCUCUAGCUAAAUAGUUUCAGACGCAGUUCCGGAGUUGAGCCCCGGGCUUUCACAUCUGACACAUUUAGCCGCCUACGCACCCUUUACGCCCAGUGAAUCCGAGUAACGCUCGCAGUCUCUGUAUUACCGCGGCUGCUGGCAC